GAGUUUGAUCUUGGCUCAGAUUGAACGCUGGCGGCAUGCCUUACACAUGCAAGUCGAACGGCAGCACGGGAGCUUGCUCCUGGUGGCGAGUGGCGAACGGGUGAGUAAUGCAUCGGAACGUAUCCUGGAGUGGGGGAUAACGUAGCGAAAGUUACGCUAAUACCGCAUAUUCUGUGAGCAGGAAAGCGGGGGACCUUCGGGCCUCGCGCUCUUGGAGCGGCCGAUGUCGGAUUAGCUAGUUGGUGAGGUAAAGGACUCACCAAGGCGACGAUCCGUAGCAGGUCUGAGAGGAUGAUCUGCCACACUGGAACUGAGACACGGUCAGACUCC
rnacentral:rRNA from 1 species